rnacentral:rRNA from 1 species
GGUUAAGCGACUAAGCGUACACGGUGGAUGCCCUGGCAGUCAGAGGCGAUGAAGGACGUGCUAAUCUGCGAUAAGCGUCGGUGAGGUGAUAUGAACCGUUAUAACCGGCGAUUUCCGAAUGGGGAAACCCAGUGUGUUUCGACACACUAUCAUUAACUGAAUCCAUAGGUUAAUGAGGCGAACCGGGGGAACUGAAACAUCUAAGUACCCCGAGGAAAAGAAAUCAACCGAGAUUCCCCCAGUAGCGGCGAGCGAACGGGGAGGAGCCCAGAGCCUGAAUCAGUGUGUGUGUUAGUGGAAGCGUCUGGAAAGGCGCGCGAUACAGGGUGACAGCCCCGUACACAAAAAUGCACAUGCUGUGAGCUCGAUGAGUAGGGCGGGACACGUGGUAUCCUGUCUGAAUAUGGGGGGACCAUCCUCCAAGGCUAAAUACUCCUGACUGACCGAUAGUGAACCAGUACCGUGAGGGAAAGGCGAAAAGAACCCCGGCGAGGGGAGUGAAAAAGAACCUGAAACCGUGUACGUACAAGCAGUGGGAGCCUCUUUAUGGGGUGACUGCGUACCUUUUGUAUAAUGGGUCAGCGACUUAUAUUCUGUAGCAAGGUUAACCGAAUAGGGGAGCCGAAGGGAAACCGAGUCUUAACUGGGCGUUAAGUUGCAGGGUAUAGACCCGAAACCCGGUGAUCUAGCCAUGGGCAGGUUGAAGGUUGGGUAACACUAACUGGAGGACCGAACCGACUAAUGUUGAAAAAUUAGCGGAUGACUUGUGGCUGGGGGUGAAAGGCCAAUCAAACCGGGAGAUAGCUGGUUCUCCCCGAAAGCUAUUUAGGUAGCGCCUCGUGAAUUCAUCUCCGGGGGUAGAGCACUGUUUCGGCAAGGGGGUCAUCCCGACUUACCAACCCGAUGCAAACUGCGAAUACCGGAGAAUGUUAUCACGGGAGACACACGGCGGGUGCUAACGUCCGUCGUGAAGAGGGAAACAACCCAGACCGCCAGCUAAGGUCCCAAAGUCAUGGUUAAGUGGGAAACGAUGUGGGAAGGCCCAGACAGCCAGGAUGUUGGCUUAGAAGCAGCCAUCAUUUAAAGAAAGCGUAAUAGCUCACUGGUCGAGUCGGCCUGCGCGGAAGAUGUAACGGGGCUAAACCAUG